UUACACGCUCGACGGUAUUGCCAUCGUGCUUGCUAUAGAAGGCAUUACUUUGGUCACAUUUGUUGUGGCCAUAUUCUCUCCUAUCGAAUGAGGAGGUUGUUCUUGAUUGUUAUUUGGUGGAUUAAACAUCUUUCUAACAUAUUUCCUUUUUGGUUUCUUCUUCAUCAUCUCACGUUAUUGUUGUAGAAAAUAGAAAAAACAAAAAAAACUUCAAUCUCCCUUGUGCUCAUAGAAAAAUAAAAAAAAUAUAAUAAUAAAACUCUCUAAAAUCAAAC
rnacentral:lncRNA from 1 species